rnacentral:rRNA from 1 species
AUUGAACGCUGGCGGCAGGCCUAACACAUGCAAGUCGGACGAGCGGCGGACGGGUGAGUAAUGUAUGGGAAACUGCCUGAUGGAGGGGGAUAACUACUGGAAACGGUAGCUAAUACCGCAUACCAUCGGAUGUGCCCAGAUGGGAUUAGCUAGUAGGUGGGGUAACGGCUCACCUAGGCGACGAUCCCUAGCUGGUCUGAGAGGAUGACCAGCCACACGGGGACUGAGACACGGCCCAGACUCCUACGGGAGGCAGCAGUGGGGAAUAUGGCACAAUGGGCGCAAGCCUGAUGCAGCCAUGCCGCGUGUAUGAAGAAGGCCUUCGGGUUGUAAAGUACUUUCAGCGGGGAGGCGUUACCGGCAGAAGAAGCACCGGCUAACUCCGUGCCAGCAGCCGCGGUAAUAC